rnacentral:rRNA from 1 species
UUACGACUACAUAUCAGGCAUAUCAAUAAGCGGAGGAAAAGAAACUAACUAGGAUUCCCUUAGUAACGGCGAGUGAAGCGGGAAGAGCUCAAAUUUGAAAUCUUCAAGGUUUUACCUUGACGAAUUGUAGUUUAAAGAAGUGUUUUCUGUUGGUGUUUUGGUAAAAGUUCCUUGGAAUAGGGACAUCAUAGAGGGUGAGAAUCCCGUAUUUGGUUAUUCAUUCUAGCUUUGUGAUACACUUUCAAAGAGUCGGAUUGUUUGGGAAUGCAGUCCAAAAUGGGUGGUAAAUUUCAUCUAAAGCUAAAUAUUGGCGAGAGACCGAUAGCGAACAAGUACCGUGAGGGAAAGAUGAAAAGAACUUUGAAAAGAGAGUUAAUCAGUACGUGAAAUUGUCAAAAGGGAAGCGUUUGACACCAGUGUUGUUUAGUUGAAAAUCAAUUCAAUAGUUUUUGAUUCUAAGUAGUAUUGACUUCAUCAGCUUGCUGCUUUCUUCUCAGAAAUUAUUGAAUGCACUUUUCAGUUAACAAGUCAACAUCAAUUUCUUUUGUUGUAAAAGGGUAAGAGGAAGGUGGCUUGCGCUUCGGCUCAAGUGUUUAUAGCCUUUUAUCUCUGCAAUCGGAGAGAUUGAGGUCUGCAGCGUAGAUCCUUCGGGGUUAGAUACAUUGGUGCUAAGCUAUAGCCUUGUAUAGACAACUUGUUGACUAUGCUCAGUCAUGUAGCUUACUCGCUGAUGCUAUUUUACCUACGCUUAGGAUGUUGAGUAGCGACAUACGCAC